UACAGAGACUGCAAGCGUUAUUCGGAUUCACUGGGCGUAAAGGGUGCGCAGGCGGUUGGGUGUGUCAGAUGUGAAAUCCCGAGGCUUAACCCCGGAACUGCGUCUGAAACUACUCGACUAGAGUACUGGAGAGGGUAACGGAAUUCACGGUGUAGCAGUGAAAUGCGUAGAUAUCGUGAGGAACACCAGAGGCGAAGGCGGUUACCUGGACAGUUACUGACGCUCAGGCACGAAAGCAUGGGGAGCAAAAGGG
rnacentral:rRNA from 1 species